ACCCGCUGAACUUAAGCAUAUCAAUAAGCGGAGGAAAAGAAACCAACAGGGAUUGCCCUAGUAACGGCGAGUGAAGCGGCAACAGCUCAAAUUUGAAAUCUGGCGUCUUUGGCGUCCGAGUUGUAAUUUGCAGAGGGCGCUUUGGCAUUGGCAGCGGUCCAAGUUCCUUGGAACAGGACGUCACAGAGGGUGAGAAUCCCGUACGUGGUCGCUAGCCUUUACCGUGUAAAGCCCCUUCGACGAGUCGAGUUGUUUGGGAAUGCAGCUCUAAAUGGGAGGUAAAUUUCUUCUAAAGCUAAAUACUGGCCAGAGACCGAUAGCGCACAAGUAGAGUGAUCGAAAGAUGAAAAGCACUUUGGAAAGAGGGUUAAAAAGCACGUGAAAUUGUUGAAAGGGAAGCGCUUGCAGCCAGACUUGCCUGUAGUUGCUCAUCCGGGUUUUUACCCGGUGCACUCUUCUAUAGGCAGGCCAGCAUCAGUUUGGGCGGUUGGAUAAAGGUCUCUGUCAUGUACCUCUCUUCGGGGAGAACUUAUAGGGGAGACGACAUGCAACCAGCCCGGACUGAGGUCCGCGCAUCUGCUAGGAUGCUGGCGUAAUGGUUGU
rnacentral:rRNA from 1 species